rnacentral:rRNA from 1 species
AGAGUUUGAUCCUGGCUCAGAGCGAACGCUGGCGGCAGGCCUAACCAUGCAAGUCGAACGGGCCCUUCGGGGGUCAGUGGCAGACGGGUGAGUAACGCGUGGGAACGUGCCCAUCUCGGGAUACCCAGGGAAACUUGGGCUAAUACCGGAUACGCCCUUUUGGGGAAAAGAUUCAUUGCCGAUGGAUCGGCCCGCGUCUGAUUAGCUAGUUGGCGAGGUAACGGCUCACCAAGGCGACGAUCAGUAGCUGGUCUGAGAGGAUGAUCAGCCACACUGGGACUGAGACACGGCCCAGACUCCUACGGGAGGCAGCAGUGGGGAAUAUUGGACAAUGGGCGCAAGCCUGAUCCAGCCAUGCCGCGUGAGUGAUGAAGGCCUUAGGGUUGUAAAGCUCUUUCACCCACGACGAUAAUGACGGUAGUGGGAGAAGAAGCCCCGGCUAACUUCGUGCCAGCAGCCGCGGUAAUACGAAGGGGGCUAGCGUUGCUCGGAAUCACUGGGCGUAAAGGGCGCGUAGGCGGCCGAUCAAGUCAGGGGUGAAAGCCUGUGGCUCAACCACAGAAUUGCCUUUGAUACUGUUCGGCUCGAGACCGGAAGAGGUUGGUGGAACUGCGAGUGUAGAGGUGAAAUUUCGUAGAUAUUUCGCAAGAACACCAGUGGCGAAGGGGCCAACUGGUCCGCUGACGCUGAGGCGCGAAAGCGUGGGGAGCAAACAGGAUUAGAUACCCUAGUAGUCC